rnacentral:lncRNA from 1 species
CGGCCUUUUUUCUGCAAGAAUUUCUCUAAAUUUCCCUUUAGACUGGGAAAAUGAAUGAAGAAAAUCAAGAAGGAGAUGAAGCAAGCAUGGACGUCCAUCAAACCAUUGAUCGUGACAAGAGAAAGGUAGAGGAAGAAGCCGAACCGAAAUCCAAAGAACAAUCUCCUAUGCAUUCUUGAUCUUUUUCAGUACUUAUCCUCAAUUCUCAACAUAUUCUUUAUUUUAAAUGAUUUCUUGUUUAGCCUUUACUUUUCUUCUUCACGUGUGUGUUUGUUUUGAUGGAAAAUGAGAACGGGAAAGAAAUGGGGU